rnacentral:rRNA from 1 species
UUUGAAGAAAGAUUUAUCGCUCUGGGAGGGUCUCGCGGCCUAUCAGCUAGUUGGUGAGGUAACGGCUCACCAAGGCAUCGACGGGUAGCUGGUCUGAGAGGACGAUCAGCCACACUGGAACUGAGACACGGGUCCAGACUCCUACGGGAGGCAGCAGUAGGGAAUCUUGCGCAAUGGGCGAAAGCCUGACGCAGCAAUGCCGCGUGCGGGACGAAGGCCCUAGGGUCGUAAACCGCUUUCAGUAGGGACGAAAAUGACGGUACCUGCAGAAGAAGCUCCGGCCAACUACGUG